UACGGGGGGGGCAAGCGUUGUUCGGAAUUACUGGGCGUAAAGGCUCGUAGGCGGCCAACUAAGUCAGACGUGAAAUCCCUCGGCUUAACCGGGGAACUGCGUCUGAUACUGGGAUGGCUUGAGAUUGGGAGAGGGAUGCGGAAUUCCAGGUGUAGCGGUGAAAUGCGUAGAUAUCUGGAGGAACACCGGUGGCGAAGGCGGCAUCCUGGACCAACACUGACGCUGAGGGAGCGAAAGCCAGGGGAGGCAAAGCGGG
rnacentral:rRNA from 1 species